GUAUCACUCUAGACUGUGGCGUAAAUUUAAGUGGAACUUAAAAAUGAUGUCAUUUUCCUUUAUCCAGCGCAGAAGUCUGCCUCAUGACCAAUCAACGCCCGGACCUGUCAUAUAGACAGUGGCAGACCAAAAAUUACAGCGCCCCUCUUCGGUAGACUGAACUAAAUAGCAGUGCUCAGCCCGAAACUGGACUAAACGCCUGAAAUAACUAGCUUCCAACCAGCCAACUACAGUAGAAUUCCAUUUCUGGGAGGUCCCAGCAUGUGGCUGCAAUAGCACAUAUCUUGUCCAUCUCGGCUACCAGUUAGUGGCGCAUCAGCACUGUGUGACAACACAACAAAACGUCUACGGUAACCAGAUGGAUUUUUCAUUAACACCAAGCACAUGGGGUCGCUCUGCCCGAGCAGAGCAUAUUUCAGGAAUUUCUUUAAAGGCUCAGGCAUUCAUACAUGCAACAAUGUUUCGCUGGAGAAUGGAGACUUUUCCGGACUGGUGAAGGGCAGUCUACUUUUUUACGCCAAAGAAAAUGUUGCAAUUAGUCCCAGAGGAUAGGCUUUCUUAAUCGGCGUGUGUGCAACACCGCAAAUAAGAGGGGUGCGGUGUUGAGAUGUGAAGUAGCCUACCAACAACUUCGCACUCCACGGCAACAUUGUCGAUUCUUCAAGCGGAAGGCUUUUCGCAAGUGGAGUCGCACAGUGGAAGUGUUGAGGCUCGGGAGAUUACAUGACAAAGAAGACAUCGGCUCAUCUCUACAUCUAAAUGUCCUGUCGCGAUGUCUUUUCAAAUCUCAGGUUGGGUCCUGAAAUCGCCUGACCACGGACUUCGCAUUUGACAGGUCGGCGUCGGCGUCGGCGUAUUGAAUUGUUGGCGGAGGCGCAGCUCCUCCACGCCGGAGCAUCACAUGCCGGUGGCGAGAGCGCCGUCAUAUCUUAAUACAUCCUCGGGCCUCGGCAAGGCAACACAGGAUGUUUUGGACCCCACUGGAAGGCUUAAAUUAGACACCAGGCAUUCUCAGCAUCUGUCAUGACACCCCCGGAACGCACCUCGUGGGCAUAUAACGGCCUGGACAAAUGUGUCUGUCUGCACUUACCUCCGGGUUCCCACAGAGCAACUCAACCCCCCAGCAGGCUCCCUCGGGCGGGCGGCCAUUUUAGACCCAGUGAACUUUCUCUCAGCGGACCGGCAUCUCUUACUAGGGGCACUUGUUUUCCGCCAGCAGAGUGGGAACGGGGGUUGUGUGUUAUGUAGACACGGACGUGGGGGAGAGUCUGGAUUGUGUACACAAUGUGUAUAAGUUAGAAGCCUUUCAUAUAGGCUUGGCACCGCAUGGGAAGCACGGAAGCACUGGCCGAGUGAAGCAUAAAUCUGCCAUAAUGCCCAGCAUAAAAUGGCGCAGCAGGCUCCUCUUUCAGAGUUACUACGACACGCGCUGACAAUGUUUUGUGUUUGGAUCAAAUACUGUUUUUUAUGGCUGAUACAACAGAUUACAUUUUCUUUGACAUGAGAUGUCCUUGUCCUGCCUUGUAACAUUACUUCCACCAUUAAAUGCUGCUUUAGAAAAGUGACUGUGGUUUGAAACGUGUUUUAAUUCUGACUUACAAUGACAAAAUGUGUGAAAGACUUUUCAUUUCGGAAAAGAUUUGUACCUUUUUAUUACACGCAGUGUAUAACAAAAGAAGAAAGAAGUCAAUUCCAAGCCUGUUUUUUUUUCUUCACAAUAAUGAAUGUACUUGUGAACUGAGCUUACGGGAUUUCAUAAGGG
ensembl:lncRNA